rnacentral:lncRNA from 1 species
GCAAGGAUGACUCACAAAAGACACAGCCGAAGCCAGUGCAUCAGGGCCCGUGGAGGCACGAAAGGGUUAGAUUGUCCCGUGCUUUCUGCCCCCACAGCGGAAGUGGAAGCUGUGGUUUCCAAAGGCCCUUCCUGAUCUGCAAUCUCUGAGAAAUCAACUAAAGAGAUAAAGUCAAAGGUUGGUUGGUGGUGUGCAGUGGGCGCGGGGGUGGAUCACAGGCAGGAGUUGGAAAAUUGAGGCCUGAUGCAAGCUCUAAGAUCCGCCCCCACCCACUCCUGAUCAUGAGUGAUAAGCACCCCACCACCCACUCUGCCACUUGGCCGGGAUUUCCCCGGAGCCUGUGAAGUAUUCCCAGGGCUGGGAUGUGACUUGGGAGGAGGUGGUAAUUGGCUCCUUUCUCCGCUCUGAGCUGGGCCUCCAGGAACUGCCUCCACCACGUCCCCCUUCCCCUCCAGGGGAGUUACUCAGCACAGUCUGACUGCUCCACCUGAACCCUCCUUAGCAUCACCCACUCACCUCACACUCCUGACCCAGGUGCUGCCUGCUCAUAGCCAGGGCACAGAGAUGAGGAGCAACUUCAUCCCAGUCUUCUACCCAGCCCCAAAGCUGAAUUCCGCAACAGGACCUGGUCCUGACCCUGCUCCCAUGAAGAGAUGCAAAAUCACACUAAAUCUUCAUGUUAAAUCAUCAUAUGUAUCAAAUGCCAACCAGUCAGUAAGCAGCCGAGGGCACGCUGUCCACAGCCCUACAGCUAGGCCUGUGCUGCUACCAGGGUGCAGAGGCAGGGGCCUUGAAGAAACAGCCCCAGCCCCUAGGAAUGCUAUUUGCUGUUGGAGACAACAAGUUCUUAAUAAAAGCCACAUCAACCCAGAAGACCUGAGUCAUCUGAGAGAGACCAUUUGCGCCUCUAAGCCUCAGUUUCUUCAAUUGUGAAAUGGUAAUGACAGCUAGUUUAGAAUUAAAUGAUGCCGUGUAUGAAAAAUAGAUGAGAGACUUAGAAGGAUCCCGUCCUUCCACAGAUACUUAUUCCUGGGCCAAUGCUCAGGAUAUAAAGAUAAAGUAAACAAACGUAACAGGCCUGAUCCCUGCCCUCAAGAGGUUCCUCAAGUUGCUGUUAUUGUUGACCCAAUGACAGCUAAAUAAAUGAAGGCCACUCAUAAAAAGCAAAUGGAGGCUCCGAUAGAGUGUGGCCGAUGGUAUUUUCCAAAGUUGGGUGCCCCUUUCCACUUGCUCUCCUUGUCCCAUGACUGAC